UGGGGAAUAUUGCACAAUGGGCGCAAGCCUGAUGCAGCCAUGCCGCGUGUGUGAAGAAGGCCUUCGGGUUGUAAAGCACUUUCAGCGAGGAGGAAGGUGGUGAACUUAAUACGUUCAUCAAUUGACGUUACUCGCAGAAGAAGCACCGGCUAACUCCGUGCCAGCAGCCGCGGUAAUACGGAGGGUGCAAGCGUUAAUCGGAAUUACUGGGCGUAAAGCGCACGCAGGCGGUUUGUUAAGUCAGAUGUGAAAUCCCCGGGCUCAACCUGGGAACUGCAUUUGAAACUGGCAAGCUAGAGUCUCGUAGAGGGGGGUAGAAUUCCAGGUGUAGCGGUGAAAUGCGUAGAGAUCUGGAGGAAUACCGGUGGCGAAGGCGGCCCCCUGGACGAAGACUGACGCUCAGGUGCGAAAGCGUGGGGCAGCAAACAGGAUUAGAUACCCUGGUAGUCCAGCGCUGUAAAACGAUGUCGAUUUGGAGGUUGUGCCCUUGAGGCGUGGCUUCCGGAGCUAACGCGUUAAAUCGACCGCCUGGGGAGUACGGCCGCAAGGUUAAAACUUAAAUGAAUUGACGNGGUCAUAGCUGUUUCCUG
rnacentral:rRNA from 1 species